UAAUCAUUAGUUUUUUAAUUGAAAGCUGGUAUGAAGGAUUGGACGAGAUACAUUCUGUCUCAGAAUUAAAGGUUGAAGUUUAUUUUUAAGUUAAAAAGCUUAACUAACUUUAAAAGACGAGAAGACCCUAUAGAGUUUAAUAUUUUAUUAUUAUAAAUUAUUGUUGGAGUAUAAAAUUUUUAUAGUUUAGAAAUAUUUAAUUGGGGUGAUAGAAAAAUUUAAUAAACUUUUUCUUUUAAAAAUAUAAAUUUAUAGGUUAUUGACUUAAAUUAUUAGUUAUAAGAUUAAAUUACCUUAGGGAUAACAGCGUUAUUUUUCUAGAGAGUUCAUAUCGAAAGAAGAGAUUGCGACCUCGAUGUUGGAUUAAAGUUAAAAUUUGGUGUAGAAGCUAAGUGAUUUAGUCUGUUCGACUAUUAAAACUUUACAUGAUCUGAGUUUAGACCGGCGUGAGCCAGGUUAGUUUCUAUCUUUAAUAUAAAAAGGUAUUUUAGUACGAAAGGACCAAAUAUCAGUUAGAUUAAUUAAUUUUUGAUUAAUAUU
rnacentral:rRNA from 1 species